UACGUAGGGUGCGAGCGUUGUCCGGAAUUAUUGGGCGUAAAGAGCUCGUAGGCGGUCUGUCGCGUCGAUCGUGAAAACUUGGGGCUUAACCCUGAGCUUGCGGUCGAUACGGGCAUGACUGGAGUUCGGCAGGGGAGACUGGAAUUCCUGGUGUAGCGGUGAAAUGCGCAGAUAUCAGGAGGAACACCGGUGGCGAAGGCGGGUCUCUGGGCUAACACUGACGCUCAGGCACGAAAGCGUGGGGAGCAAACAGG
rnacentral:rRNA from 1 species